rnacentral:rRNA from 1 species
GAUGAACGCUGGCGGCGUGCCUAAUACAUGCAAGUCGAGCGAACGGACGAGAAGCUUGCUUCUCUGAUGUUAGCGGCGGACGGGUGAGUAACACGUGGAUAACCUACCUAUAAGACUGGGAUAACUUCGGGAAACCGUAGCUAAUACCGGAUAAUAUUUUGAACCGCAUGGUUCAAAAGUGAAAGACGGUCUUGCUGUCACUUAUAGAUGGAUCCGCGCUGCAUUAGCUAGUUGGUAAGGUAACGGCUUACCAAGGCAACGAUGCAUAGCCGACCUGAGAGGGUGAUCGGCCACACUGGAACUGAGACACGGUCCAGACUCCUACGGGAGGCAGCAGUAGAGAAUCUUCCGCAAUGGGCGAAAGCCUGACGGAGCAACGCCGCGUGAGUGAUGAAGGUCUUCGGAUCGUAAAACUCUGUUAUUAGGGAAGAACAUAUGUGUAAGUAACUGUGCACAUCUUGACGGUACCUAAUCAGAAAGACACGGCUAACUCCGUG